GUGCAAUAGCAAGAAAUUUUCAAUUGCACAGUAUUCAGCAAUAGCAAGAAAUCUUCAAUUGCACAGUAUUGUGCAAUAGCAAGAAAUUUUCAAUUGCUCAGUAUUGUGCAAUAGCAAGAAAUCUUCAAUUGCACAGUAUUGUGCAAUAGCAAAUAUUUUCAAUUGCACAGUAUUGCGCAAUAGCCAGAAAUAUCUAAUUGCACAAUAUUGUGCAAUAGCAAGAAAUUUUCAAUUGAUUGGAGUUAUCUUUCUUUGUCCAGAAUAGUAGUUGAGUCAACUUAAAUCAUUGUUUUAUACAAUAUACAAUGUAUAUUCACUUUUACUACCAACUGAUAAAUUAAAACAAUCUUUACCAUUCAGUGAUAACAAGCAC
rnacentral:lncRNA from 1 species